rnacentral:rRNA from 1 species
GACGAACGCUGGCGGCGUGCCUAAUACAUGCAAGUCGAACGCAGUGGGGACGGGUGAGUAACCCGUGGGUAACCUCCAAUCAGAGGGGAUAACACUUGGAACAAGGUGCUAAACCGAUAGUAGUGGAUGGCACACGGGUGCAUUAGAUAGUUGGUGAGGUAAGGGCUCACCAAGGCCACGAUGCAUAGCCGACCUGAGAGGGUGAUCGGCCACCAUGGGACGGAGACACGGCCCAUACUCCUACGGUAGGCAGCAGUAGGUAAUCUUCGGCAAUGGACGAAAGUCUGACCGAGCAACGCCGCGUGAGUGAAUAAGGUUUUCGGAUCGUAAAACUCUGUUGUUAGAGAAGCGGUAUCUAACCAGAAAGCCACGGCUAACUACGUGCCAGCAGCCGCGGUAAUAC